AGUUGGUUAGCUCAGUGGUUAGAGCUUAGGCCUUAUGACCGGAAGUUUCCGGGAUCGAAUCUCGCCAGAGACAG
rnacentral:tRNA from 1 species